rnacentral:rRNA from 1 species
GUGUCAGCAGCCGCGGUAAUACGUAGGGGGCGAGCGUUAUCCGGAAUUAUUGGGCGUAAAGCGCACGCAGGCGGUCUGCUAAGUUUGGAGUGACAGUUGGUGGCUCAACCAUCAAAGUACUUCAAAAACUGGUAGACUUGAGAACGAGAGAGGAACAUGGAACUCCAGGUGUAGUAGUGAAAUGCGUAGAUAUCUGGAAGAACACCAAUGGCGAAGGCAAUGUUCUGGCUCGUUUCCGACGCUCAGGUGCGAAAGCCAGGGGAGCGAACGGGAUUAGAUACCCGUGUAGUCC